rnacentral:rRNA from 1 species
UGGGGAAUAUUGGACAAUGGGGGAAACCCUGAUCCAGCGAUGCCGCGUGUAUGAAGAAGGCCUGCGGGUUGUAAAGUACUUUAGUUUGGGAGGAAGCUUUGUAGGUUCAGAGCUAACAAAGUUGACGUUACCGAAAGAAUAAGCACCGGCUAACUCUGUGCCAGCAGCCGCGGUAAGACAGAGGGUGCAAGCGUUAAUCGGAAUUACUGGGCGUAAAGGGCGCGUAGGCGGUUUAUUAAGUUGACUGUGAAAGACUUGGGCUUAACCUGGGGCAGUCAGUCAAAACUGGUAGACUGGAGUGAGUGAGAGGAGAGUGGAAUUUCCGGUGUAGCGGUGAAAUGCGUAGAUAUCGGAAAGAACAUCGAUGGCGAAGGCAACUCUCUGGCACUUAACUGACGCU